UGUAAAACACACAAUUUGAGCGAUAUUAUUGCAAAGCUUAUUUGCUUUCAACUCGUUCUUCAUUGAAUUAACUUUCAAACUUAUCGAGGACUAAUUUCUUGUGUCAUUCAACAAUCAAAGUAAGAUUCGUAAGUUUUGUAAUCAUGGGGUCAAGAUAUUAUUUGCGAUUAUAUUGGUUAUUUGGUUCAAUAAUUUAUCGGGUCGAGCUUUUCUAAACAUUAAUUCUUGGUUUUCUUGGGUUUGAUCUAGUUUGUCGUGGGUUCUGUAGCUUUAAUUACUAGGUGGGUUAACACAUUUUUGAUGCCUGAAACUGAAUUAUGAGAGUUUGUUACUUUGUUUUGCAUGUUUGAAACCAUAUUGGGGACUGAAACUCACAAACACAUGCGUGACCUUCAUUUUAGAUGUUUGAUUUGUGUUUUCCAGCCUUAGAAUAUAUGCUGUCUUAAACCAGAAAUGUAGGAGGAUUUCUGAAUGUGAUCGCCCGAGGUUUUUGAAGUGCAUUAUUCACUUAUAGAUUGUCUUAUCAGUACAUGUGAGUUUUGCCUCUUGUCUUCCCAAAUGGAAUGUUUCGAGCUAUUGUAUCUUCUUUCGGAUGUUCCGACUCUUAUGGAUUAUAACAGCUUCAUUUCUUGAAUUCUCUCCAUGAGGAUAGAUGUCCUGUCUCACUGUACACGUCCACUUCUGUGGUUUUACGUUGUUAACUUCUUCAGACACCAUCUCAAAGCAUCCAUGAUGAUCAACCAUAGUAUGAAUAUUUGCUUCUUGUCUUAGUCCAUUAGCUUUGUGCUGGACGUUUAUUUCAAUAUGAAAGAUGUCGGUUUCAGUUUCAGCUGCAUAUUUUCACAAUUGUCACACAGUAAUUGUUACACAAAUUUAUUUGUAGUGCCCAAUUCCUAAGUAAAAUGAGUUUUAGUUCUUAUGACCCAGCAAUAAGGGGGUUGCAUCAUUAAUACUCAAAAUUACGUGCAAAUACCACAAGCUGCAUUCUUCAUAAAUAGGGUUUAUAAAUGAUUCGUGAUAAUAGUGGACUAGGGCACAAUCAACUAUGCAGACUGAAUAUAUAAUAGCUUGUAUCCAUAUAAAUGAUGUACUUUGUAAGAAGUUAUUUUCUGUUCACGCA
rnacentral:lncRNA from 1 species